UGUGGUAUGAGAUAAUUCUUCCCAUGCCAACCCUUUCCUUAUAUACUGGUACCAAGGUACCAAAAGCUACAAUCCAUAUGGGAUAUCUCCUAGGACCAGCCCUCCCCUUGUACUCUAAUGUACUAUAGACCAGCACCCUACCUUAUGGGAUAUCCUUAACAACACUUGUACUCUAAUGACCAUUAGCAACUACUUAAAGAGUUCUAUUCUCAACACUCCCACUUUGCUAUUGGUCAAUUAGCUAUCAAUCCUAAUGCCUUACUCAACUUGUUGUGUCCUUCUCUAACUAAGGCUUUUGUCAACAAAUCAGCCAUCAUGUCUUUGGUUUCACAAUACAUCAUAUCAAUAACCUCCAUCUCUAUCUUCUCUCUUAUGAAAUGAUGCUCAAUAUCAAUGUACUUAGUUCUUGCAUGAUGCUUUGGAUUCUUUCCAAAAGCAAGACAUCCUUGAUUGUCACACCUCAAUGGAGUAGCUUCAAAUUGCACAAGUCCAAUAUCUUCCAAUAACAACCUCAACCAAAUUGCCUCCAUUGCUUUAUGACUUGCUGCCAAAUACUCCGCCCCUAUUGUGGACCUUGCAAUGUUUGGUUGUCUAUUGCUAUUCAAAGAUAUGGCUCCCACUCAAACAAAGAAUACAUAGCCCAUUGUUGACCUUCAAUCGUUUACAUCUCUCUUAGUUCUAAGCACCCACUUACAUCCAAUUGUUGUGGAAAGAUGUGGUUCUUUCACCAUUCACCUUGUGGUCUUCUCUCACGUGUUGGAUAUCUUCUUUCAUGCAAAGAAGAUGAGCCUUCUUGCACCUCUUGCUGCCUUGUAUGACUCAUGGAGUGCUUUCUCUUACUCAUUUGUUGGUAUUCUUCAUCUUCAUUCUCUUCAUUGUCCUUGUUGUAUCUUGCUGGAAUUGAAGUCUUCAUAGUAUUGGGCUCUUCUAUCAUGGCAUCUUCCUCUUCUUCUUCACUUUGAGAAUGCUCUUCUUCAUCUUCUUGUUUGUUUGCUAGAAUUGAAGAUGUGUCCACAAACACACCACUACUCCCACUUGGACACAUCUCUCACUUUUCACUACCACUCAUAGAUGGUGUCCUCAUGGAUCCACAAACAUUCGAAUGCACAAGCUCCAGCAAUUGGUUUGCUCUUGUUGAAACUCCUCUAGGAAAUGGUGUCCUAUGUUGUUUGCCUUGAAUGCAUCCCUCACAAGCAAGAUUCAUCGUAGAAUGGCCAAGGUCUAUGCCAUUUACCUUGGAUUGAAGCCCUUUCAUGCUUUUGGCAUUCAAAUGCCCAAGUCUUUGAUGCCAAAUGCCCAUCUUCUCUUCAUUUGAUGGAAAUUCAGCAAAGGCAGCAACCUCCACUCCAUUGAUCCUCUUGCAAUUGAUAAUAUAGAGAUUGCCAUUCCUAGUCCCUUUUGCUACUUCUUUGCCUUCCAUGGUUCUCACAAAACAUCCAUUCAUAUUAAAUUGCACUUUGUAUCCAUGAGUUACAAGUUUACUCACCGAAAGGAGGUUCUUCUUCAUCUUUGGCACAUGCAACACAUCCUUGAGAGUGAUUCUCUUGCUUAUGCCCUUCACCACCACCUCCACUACAAUGGUGCCUAUUCCAAUGGCUUGUACCAUACAAUUAUCACCUAACCAAACGUUGGUUGCUUGAAUUGGUUGAUAAGUGUUAAAUGAACACUUGUAUGGAGUCAUGUGUUUGGUACAUCCGGAAUCCACAAUCCAUUUGCUCAUAUCAAACAUGGAAGGAGUUUGUUUUGCCAUGAAUGCAAAGUCUUCACCUCCAUGAUCAUGAAAAGCAUUGUUGGCAUUCUCUCUUUCUCCUCUCUUUGCCUUGAAACAAUUUCUAGCAAAAUGGCCUGGUUUUCUACAAAUGUAACAAGUUUUAGGAGGAUAACGUUGAAAAGGGGCACUUGCCUUACUUGGUCUUGUAAAUAGUGCUGAUUGCUCCCCAAUAGACUCCUUUUGCUUUCUUUUGGUCACUUCAUGGGCUAGUCUUGCCGUGACAUAGUCCAAAAUGAGGUCUUUCUUUGAAAUGGACUCCAAUGCCACAAUGAGGGAGGAAUAGGAGUCCGGAAGGCUUGAGAGCAAUGUCAUCACAACAUCUUCUUCAAGUAAAGGCUUGUCAACAACAGCAAGUUGGUUUGCAAGUGCCUUUACCUUAUUUACAUGAGCCAUGAGAUCUUCACCUUCUUCCAUCUUCACGGUGAAGAACUUUUGCCUUGACCAUAGCACAUUGGAAAGAUUCCUACUCUCAUAGACAUUGCAAAGAGUCUUCCAUGCAUCUGCUGCUCCUUUGCAAGAAAUGACAUGAGCAAAGUUGGUUUCAUCUAAGUUGGUGGCAAUUAUGCCAAAAGCCUUCUUCUCUCGUCUUUUGAAGUCCUUUUGCUCCUUCAUGCUUGCCUCUAAUCCAGGUGCCUCUUCCUCCUCACAUACUAUCUCCCAAAGAUCCAAUGAUGCCAAAAGUAGCUCCAUUUUGGCCUUCCAGUGGUGAAAGUUGUCACCUCUAAACUUUUCUACCAUUCUUAAGCUAUCACUCUCAAAAGAUGCCAUCUCAAGCUACAAGUAGGUCCAAAAAUCUCUUGAUUUGGAGUUGUAAUGCAAAAGAUAUGACUACUCAAAGAUUGCUGAACUACAAACUCAGAAUUCGCUGUUUUGCAACUUUUUGCAUACUUUGAGUCCAAAUCACGUCUAAAUGGUGGGAAAUGCUAUGUCAUGUAAUUCUAUGGCUUUCAAACAUCUCCCUCACAUCAUCUCACUCAAAAUGACUCAAUUUCUCAUAAAACUCUCAAAUACUAGUGUUACUUCAGCAAAGACACUAUCAAGGUCUUGCACUAACCUCAUACACUCACAAAUCCAGGAGUAAUGACUUCAACAAAAUACUAGUAAUACUAUACCAUAAGAUCUCAACCACCAAACAAACAACAAAGAAAAUAAAAUGCAAGAACAAUUUACUUGGUAAGAGAAUGUGGGCCCAUAACUUAUUGAAACAUAGAAAGCAUACUCUACACAAGUAAGUUAGGACCAGCAAGAUUGCACUAUAACAAAUAGAGUGUGGUAUGAGAUAAUUCUUCCCAUGCCAACCCUUUCCUUAUAUACUGGUACCAAGGUACCAAAAGCUACAAUCCAUAUGGAAUAUCUCCUAGGACCAGCCCUCCCCUUGUACUCUAAUGUACUAUAGACCAGCACCCUACCUUAUGGGAUAUCCUUAACAACACUUGUACUCUAAUGACCAUUAGCAACUACUUAAAGAGUU
rnacentral:lncRNA from 1 species